AGGGGAAGGGGAAGAGGAGAGGGAGAGGAGGGAGAGGGGAGGGGGAGAGAGAAAUAAAAUAACUAAAUUUGUAUUAUCUUUAAUCAGGGGCUUGCUGUUACACAGAGACUUCACUUAUUAGGAAUACCUUUUGAAUGCUGACAUGUCAAGAGGAAUAGAACCUUUGCAGUUGUUUCAGCAGGCACCAGGACAACAACAUUUUGAUCACAAAUCACCUUAGUGGUUACAACUUGUUUACAGUAACACUGCAAUUCAGGAGAUGCUAAGAAUUAGAGCUUUGCCAAAAUGUCAAAUGACAUAGAGGUAUUUCACAAGAAAAUCCUUAAUAUUAAGGUUGAAAGUAUUAAUAACACAAUGAACUCAAUUUUGACAUUCAGUCAACAUAGCAUUGUAUCUAAAUAUUGCACACAAGCAAAUAAAAAUGCAUCUGUAUUGAAAUGUAGAUAGUUUCUUAAUUCUCACCUUCUCAUUAAUUUAAAAAUAAUGGUGGAUCUGAGCUCAGUCAUGAGCCAAGUCAAAGGAAGCAACUUUGACCAAGUUUUAAAUUGUUAUUAUUUUUCAAAAUAAAUAAAUUCUACUAAGACUAAGCUUAAAGGGGGUAUAGCAUGAUGAGACUUUGUGUCUUUCCUGUGGCCUGACUCGGGGUCAAUUGGGAAUAUUACAACUACGGACGAUGCUACCGCAGUAUUCACAUGCAUGCAACAUACACAAAUAUUGGGAUCAAUUGCAACUCCUUAUUAGACAGGUCCUGGUUUAUUAGACAGUUUAUAUGGAAGAGAGAUCCCACUUUUAUUAUUGCAAUGACGCAUUAGAAAAUAAAUGCAGCCUCUUAUGAUAAUACCACAAUACACACUAGUUUUCUUCCAUAAUCAUUCAUUACAAAAGAUUUUUUUUUAAAGACUAUUGUGCCAUCAAAAUUGUGAUAAACACCACAACACAUGCCUAUAAAUACAUGAUAUCAAACUUAUAAAUAAAAUAAAAGAAGUACUGUACAAUAUACAAAGAGGAAAUCAUGCCCAAGUUGGGUUCUAUGUAAUUACUCAUACAUAUUCAAUCUAAAAACAAUUCUCUCUCUUUCUUUUCCCCAGUGCCAGGGAGAAGAUUGAGAGAAAAUAGUCUGAUUUUUAAAAAGAAAAAUAAUUGACAAAGCUGAAAGGGUAUAGAGUUGGAAUGCUAGCUCAACUUCCCUAUUUCAGGUAAUUUUGAGCUUUGACAAGGCAUGAUUACGGCCUCACAAAUCCAAGUAUGUCUGGCAAGGCUAAUGAAGAAUAAUGGCACUUAUAAUUUUCUUACUGCAACCCUCAAAAAAGAAUAAGAAAUACACAAAAAAA